rnacentral:tRNA from 1 species
AUUUAUAUAGUUUAAAAAAACAUUACAUUUUCACUGUAAAGACAAAGAAACUCUUUUAUAAAUA